rnacentral:rRNA from 1 species
CGAACGCUGGCGGCAGGCCUAACACAUGCAAGUCGAACGCCCCGCAAGGGGAGUGGCAGACGGGUGAGUAACACGUGGGAACCUUCCCUAUAGUAUGGAAUAGCCCAGGGAAACUUGGAGUAAUACCGUAUACGCCCGCAAGGGGAAAGAUUUAUCGCUAUAGGAUGAGCCCGCGUAGGAUUAGCUAGUUGGUGAGGUAAAGGCUCACCAAGGCGACGAUCCUUAGCUGGUCUGAGAGGAUGAUCAGCCACACUGGGACUGAGACACGGCCCAGACUCCUACGGGAGGCAGCAGUGGGGAAUAUUGGACAAUGGGCGAAAGCCUGAUCCAGCAAUGCCGCGUGAGUGAUGAAGGCCUUAGGGUUGUAAAGCUCUUUUACCCGGGAUGAUAAUGACAGUACCGGGAGAAUAAGCCCCGGCUAACUCCGU